AGUGAACGCUGGCGGUAGGCCUAACACAUGCAAGUCGAACGGCAGCACAGUAAGAGCUUGCUCUUACGGGUGGCGAGUGGCGGACGGGUGAGGAAUACAUCGGAAUCUACUUUUUCGUGGGGGAUAACGUAGGGAAACUUACGCUAAUACCGCAUACGACCUACGGGUGAAAGCAGGGGAUCUUCGGACCUUGCGCGAUUGAAUGAGCCGAUGUCGGAUUAGCUAGUUGGCGGGGUAAAGGCCCACCAAGGCGCCGAUCCGUAGCUGGUCUGAGAGGAUGAUCAGCCACACUGGAACGUAGACACGGUCCAGACUCCUACGGGAGGCAGCAGUGGGGAAUAUUGGACAAUGGGCGCAAGCCUGAUCCAGCCAGACCGCGUGGGUGAAGAAGGCCUUCGGGUUGUAAAGCCCUUUUGUUGGGAAAGAAAAGCAGCAGGUUAAUACCCCGCUGUUCUGACGGUACCCAAAGAAUAAGCACCGGCUAACUUCGUG
rnacentral:rRNA from 1 species